CCUGCGGCCAGCGGCCGGCCGGGCCCUAGCCCGGGGGGCCAGGGGUUGUACCCACAGCCCCCGGGGGCGGGAGGCAGCCGGGAAGCACCCGGCAACAAAGGAAGUGCUCAGCAUCCUGGAAGCGGGGAGGAGGACGCCAAGGGCCCGCGCGGUGGGGAUGGGACCGGAGGAGCCGCCGCGUGGCUGUGACUGGCUUGGUGGCUGCUGGAGAAGGAGAAGAGAUGCUCUGGGAAAUGGACUGCUCGGGCCUCCAGAGCCUCGGCGAAGAUGGCUAUGGAGGACUUUUUUCCCCCAUCUUGCAGACCUAAGGAUUUUGAUAUUGAUUUAUGGACUUAGGUUUCAUGGCUUCGGAGGGGCAUCGAGUCCAGCAUUGCAGCGGGGCAGCAGCGCCAGGAGGGGGUCCCCAGGGACCGCUCCCCCACCACCCACCAGACGAUGCUCCGGGAGGUCCCCGCAGCGCCCCGGGCCCCCGUCCCCCCCUUCCCUGUCCUGUACAUAACCAGUGAGAUGUCUGUAAAAGAUUUCAACCCUUGGAAUUUUUUUUGCCCUCCCUCCCCACCUCCCAGCCCGCCUCCCCCCCGCCCCCCCCCCUUCCUUCCCCAAUUUGUUGAUUGUGUUGAAAUUGUCGGAGUUUGUAACAGUAACUUUCAGAGAAUAUUGUACUAAAGAGAAAAUUGCACUCAAUAAAAAUGAUGAAAGAA